UACAGAGGGUGCAAGCGUUGUUCGGAAUUAUUGGGCGUAAAGCGCGUGUAGGCGGCUUUGCAAGUCGAAUGUGAAAGCCCCCGGCUCAACUGGGGAGGGUCACUCGAUACUGAUCGACUUGAAGGCAGGAGAGGGAAGCGGAAUUCCCGGUGUAGUGGUGAAAUGCGUAGAUAUCGGGAGGAACACCAGUGGCGAAGGCGGCUUCCUGGCCUGUUCUUGACGCUGAGGCGCGAAAGCUAGGGGAGCAAACGGG
rnacentral:rRNA from 1 species